rnacentral:lncRNA from 1 species
GACAGACUAACAGAGGUCCCUGAAGCCAAUAGUAUUCUGUUUAAUGAAAAGAUGGUCAUACUUGCCAAGUUAAAAAGAUUAGAAGAUUCUCAUCAAUAAGCUACAGAAAAAAUAACCGAAAGAAUCAAGACGGUUGUAAACUUCUUUUCAAGAUCUUGAUACUUCUAUGUCCUUCUUUGACUUUGUAGUUGAUCCCAAUACUUUUUCAUGCAUUUUUUAUGUUGUCUCAUUAUAAGGUAUGGUUUUGUAAAAAUAAGGCUUGACCAAGACAAUCUUCCUGUAAUAGAAUCUACUAAUAUUAACAAAGGAGGUGAGGGAAUUGACCUAAAUACCCAAGUUAGGAACCAAGGAGUUAUAAUUUUGUGUUUUAGCACUGGGAGGAUGUUGGGAGGUUCAGAGCCUAUAAUC